rnacentral:lncRNA from 1 species
CCCAGUCUCCAGCUUGCUCCUUCCUUUCCCCAGCCGGCGCGGCCCCCUUCCCGCCCCUUUUCCACCCCAACCUGCUCCGGUCCGCCCCUUCCAGCCUCCGGCGCCUUAGGUCGGCGGCUCAAACCUGCCACUCCGGCGCCUACUGCCCGGGCCGCCGGGACUGGGGCGCUUCGCUGGCGCGCCUGGCUGGCGACUGAACAAGUUCGGAGCGUCCCUCCGCCCGGAGAGAACUUCCAGAUCCGCGGCCCCAGGAUGGGGCUGGCCCCGCUGCGGCUGCUGCUGGGGCUCUUCCUCCCGGCGCUCUGGAGUGGAGGUGAGAGCUCGGGACCCGGGGCCAGACGGGCGC